ensembl:snoRNA Gm22595 predicted gene, 22595
CCUGCCCCUAGAGGUGUGGCAGGCAUGGCUGCUCUGUCACAGGCAUAUCAGUGACAGGUGGCAGAAAGAAGAGAUUAUAUCUGUGCUUGGUGUUCUGACCUAUGAACAUCUGAAUGAUUAGUAGCCUAACACU